GGAAAGGUGCAGACAGAGAGGAAACAGGACAGCAUUUUUGUAGAUUGAAGAUUGUAAACGAGCCUAAUGCAUACAUCACACUAUCUAUAGGAAUUCCAUGUCACUAGGCCUAACUGAAGAGUACAACACAAAAUACAAAACACCCUCGCCAAAGGAUUAUUAGUUUUGUUUCGCCAAAUUAAAUGCAGACAGAUCCAGUUCAAUAGCCAUAAUUGUUGCCAUACAUCGAACCAUAGCCCCCAGAUUGCCCCGGAACGCCUGCAUUUGAAGGGGCAGAUGAAUACAUAGAAGGAGGAGGAGCUCCAUAAGGGUUGUAGCCUUGGUCAGCUGGUGGACCUGUCUGUGGCUGAGGUGCCCCUGCAUCUGCCAUGAAAUUCUGUAUCAAUUGUUGUGCUGUUUGGACUUGAGAAGCAGUUCCAUUGAUCUCAACAGUCAUCUCCCCAGGAACGCCCUUUGUUUCCUGUAUGGUAACAGUAGCACCACUAACCCGUCGGAUGUAGCUUAUGCUUGCACCAUUUGUUCCAAUCACAGCAUCAGCGAAGGCCAGUGGGAUCUGCAUCUGCUGUGUAAUCUGAGUAAUAAGAGAAGGUGCUGCUGGGUUGUUGGAUGAUGAAUGCAUUGACAUUGGAGCUUCUCUUCCAUAUGCAGAAAUGCCUUGAUGAGGUUGUUUUUCCAUAGGAGGUGGCAUGUCAGCUGGUGGGUAAUAAUUAUCAUGUUGUCUGGACGGUGGCAUGAAAUGAGGACUAUUACCAUAUCCCGGACCUCCAGCAGCACUUUGUGGGAAAGCUUGGGGAGGAGGACCCCAAGUUUGGGGAGGUGGCAUGUGUUCCGCAGGUGGAUUUGGUGGCAUUUGCAUUUGCAUCUCAAAUACUGGGAUUAUGCCACGAUCAACCAAAAAUUUCCUCAGGUGAGAAGCAAUUAACUCAACUGCCUUGUGUACACCAACAGGUUCCCCGACUACUUCAACUAUCCUAUCAUCUUGAAGUGCAAACAUGGGAAGGUCCUCUGUUCCAAGAACUCUAACAAUACAACUGGAUGCUUCUUGAAUGGACUUGACGGUUGUCCCUUGUUUUCCAAUAAGACUUCCAGCCUGUGAAGCUGGCACAAGCAGCUUUGUCGAGACCUUUCCAGCUACAGCUGGAGGAGGAUGAGAAGAAUCAUUCUCCAGCCCAUCCACAACACGUCUAUGGACCCUCAGAAGACCAUCUAUAGCAGGUGGAUGAGAGGAUUCAGGCUCCUCCCUGGCAGAUAUCAUUACUGCUCUCUCAGUAAUCCCUGGAGGACCAUCGAGAACCUUAAUACGAGCUUUUGAUUCUUCAACAAUCUUUUUGAUGUACUCUCCUUUGCGUCCAAUAAGGCCACCUACUUUUUGUGAAGGGACCAAGAUACGAAAUACACUUUCUCCAGGCCACCCUGGCCACCUUUCACCACCACCUCCAGUAACAGCAACACCUUCUUGUUCUUGUUCUUGUUCCUGCACUUGUUCCUGUUCUUGAUCUUGAUCUUGCUCUUGCUCUUGCUCUUGC
rnacentral:misc_RNA from 1 species